GAUAAACGCUAGCGGCAGGCUUAAUACAUGCAAGUCGAGGGGCAGCACAGGUAGCAAUACUGGGUGGCGACCGGCAAACGGGUGCGGAACACGUACACAACUUACCUUAGAGUGGGGGAUAGCCCAGGGAAACUUGGAUUAAUACCCCAUAAAACAGGGGGCCCGCAUGGGCAUAUUGUUAAAGAUUUAUCGCUUUAAGAUGGGUGUGCGUAUGAUUAGGUAGUUGGUAGGGUAAAGGCCGACCAAGCCGACGAUCAUUAACUGGUGUGAGAGCACGACCAGUCAAACGGGCACUGAGACACGGGCCCGACUCCUACGGGAGGCAGCAGUAAGGAAUAUUGGUCAAUGGACGGAAGUCUGAACCAGCCAUGCCGCGUGAAGGAUGAAGGUCCUCUGGAUUGUAAACUUCUUUUAUAGGGGGCGAAAAAGGGCCUUUUUAGGUCAACUGACGGUACCCUAUGAAUAAGCACCGGCUAACUCCGUGCCAGCAGCCGCCGUAAAAC
rnacentral:rRNA from 1 species